rnacentral:rRNA from 1 species
CAGUCGAACGGCAGCACGGGUGCUUGCACCUGGUGGCGAGUGGCGAACGGGUGAGUAAUACAUCGGAACAUGUCCUGUAGUGGGGGAUAGCCCGGCGAAAGCCGGAUUAAUACCGCAUACGAUCUAUGGAUGAAAGCGGGGGACCUUCGGGCCUCGCGCUAUAGGGUUGGCCGAUGGCUGAUUAGCUAGUUGGUGGGGUAAAGGCCUACCAAGGCGACGAUCAGUAGCUGGUCUGAGAGGACGACCAGCCACACUGGGACUGAGACACGGCCCAGACUCCUACGGGAGGCAGCAGUGGGGAAUUUUGGACAAUGGGCGAAAGCCUGAUCCAGCAAUGCCGCGUGUGUGAAGAAGGCCUUCGGGUUGUAAAGCACUUUUGUCCGGAAAGAAAUCCUUGGCUCUAAUACAGUCGGGGGAUGACGGUACCGGAAGAAUAAGCACCGGCUAACUACGUGCCAGCAGCCGCGGUAAUACGUAGGGUGCAAGCGUUAAUCGGAAUUACUGGGCGUAAAGCGUGCGCAGGCGGUUUGCUAAGACCGAUGUGAAAUCCCCGGGCUCAACCUGGGAACUGCAUUGGUGACUGGCAGGCUAGAGUAUGGCAGAGGGGGGUAGAAUUCCACGUGUAGCAGUGAAAUGCGUAGAGAUGUGGAGGAAUACCGAUGGCGAAGGCAGCCCCCUGGGCCAAUACUGACGCUCAUGCA